ensembl:lncRNA
CUGGACUUUACCCUGAAGUCACCGUGGAAUGGGGAGGAGGAGUGUCCAAUGAGGGAAGGUCGUGCCCUACGUGAACACCUGCCCAACUCUUACGUCACCCUAAGAGAGGGCGACGCUCCUUCCGAAAGGGGCGUGGCUCAGGAAGGCGGGGUCUCUCCCACCUCCGCCCGGGGUCUGGUCUGACAGGCGUUCUAGUUCGGGCUUUCAUUCCUGCCAAGGAGCAGCUGAUCUUCAACAUCCAGCAUGCCCCAAGACCUGCCACUUCUGAGCUGUAUCAGGACACCUGCUGCUUCCUGCUGUGUCUGGUAGACCUGGCUGGUGUGGGCAUGCGCUCUCUACCCGGGUCAUCGUUAUCAUCUGUCUAAAUUCCAUGCUGCUAAGUUGCUUCAGUCGUGUCCAACUCUGUGCGACCCCAUCGACGGAAGCCCACUAGGCUCCACCGCGCCUGGAAUUCUCCAGGCAAGAACACUGGAGUGGGUUGCCAUUUCCUUCUCCAAUGCAUGAAAGUGAAAAGUGAAAAAGAAGUCGCUCAGUCAUGUCCAACUCUUAGCGACCCCAUGGACUACAGCCUACCAGGCUCCUCCAUCCAUGGGAUUUUCCAGGCAAGAGUACUGGAGUGGGGUGCCAUUGCCUUCUCCGCUAAAUUCCAUAUAUAUGUGUUAAUAUACUGUACUGGUGUUUUUCUUUCUGACUUACUUCGCUCUGUAUGAUAAGCUCCAGUUUCAUCCACUUCAUUAGAACUGAUUCAAAUGCAUUCUUUUUAAUAGCUGAGUAAUAUUCCAUUGUGUUUAUGUACCACAGCUUGCUUAUCCAUUCGUCUGCUGAUGGACAUCUAGGUUGCUUCCAUGUCCUGGCUAUUGUAAACAGUGCUGUGAUGAACAUUAGGGUAUACGUGUCUCUUUCAAUUUAUAGAUGAAUAUUUUAGCGGGCUUUCGAAAAGGAAAAAGUCACAAAGGGCCAUUCACCCAGGCCACCACCUAGGAAGGACCCUGGCUGGAGUCAGCGAGCCACGCCCUCACUCACA